rnacentral:rRNA from 1 species
CUACGGGACGCUGCAGUGGGGAAUAUUGGACAAUGGGGGAAACCCUGAUCCAGCAAUGCCGCGUGUGUGAAGAAGGCCUGCGGGUUGUAAAGCACUUUCGGUUGGAGGACUGCUUCUAGCACUAAUAUUGUUGGAAGUUGACGUUACCUUCAGAAGAAGCACCGGCUAACUCCGUGCCAGCAGCCGCGGUAAUACGGAGGGUGCAAGCGGUAAUCGGAAUUACUGGGCGUAAAGCGCGCGUAGGCGGCUAGAUCAGUCGGGUGUGAAAGCCCCGGGCUUAACCUGGGAACUGCAUCCGAUACUGUCUAGCUUGAGUACAGGAGAGGAGAGUGGAAUUCCACAUGUAGCGGUGAAAUGCGUAGAUAUGUGGAGGAACACCAAUGGCGAAGGCAGCUCUCUGGCCUGAUACUGACGCUGAGGUGCGAAAGCGUGGGGAGCAAACAGGAUUAGAUACCCUCGUAGUC